AAGCCUUGAGGUGUUUUUGUAAAGGCACAAACAAGAUAUGUUCAAGCCCUAUUGAGACCUGUUCCGGAUUUAAUCCAGUCUGUGCCAGCAUCCUCCUUCAAGCUGGACCCCAUGUCAGCUAUUUCAGGAGUUGCAUGAACGCAGCUGACUGCAGAAACCUCCUUGGUUCAAGUGUAGCAUCUGGCUCCUGCUGCAGCCGUGAUCUCUGCAACUGAUGAAUGUACAUGCAAAAUGAAAAAUGAAUCAAGCAACGCAUCUUCCAGUAUUAGUAAUUAUUUUCUCUCAUGUGUUGUGUACUUUUGCAUUGUCAUAAUAAAGAUCAAUCAGUUGUAA